rnacentral:rRNA from 1 species
UAGGGAAUCUUCCGCAAUGGACGCAAGUCUGACGGAGCAACGCCGCGUGAGUGAAGAAGGAUUUCGGUUCGUAAAACUCUGUUGUUAGAGAAGAACAGCGCAUAGAGUAACUGUUAUGCGUGUGACGGUAUCUAACCAGAAAGCCACGGCUAACUACGUGCCAGCAGCCGCGGUAAUACGUAGGUGGCAAGCGUUGUCCGGAUUUAUUGGGCGUAAAGCGAGCGCAGGCGGUCAAUUAAGUCUGAUGUGAAAGCCCCCGGCUCAACCGGGGAGGGUCAUUGGAAACUGGUUGACUUGAGUGCAGCAGAGGAGAGUGGAAUUCCAUGUGUAGCGGUGAAAUGCGUAGAUAUAUGGAGGAACACCAGUGGCGAAGGCGACUCUCUGGUCUGUAACUGACGCUGAGGCUCGAAAGCGUGGGUAGCAAACAGG